rnacentral:rRNA from 2 species
AAAUCUGGCGCCUUCGGUGUCCGAGUUGUAAUUUGAAGAAGGUAACUUUGGUUUUGGCUCUUGUCUAUGUUCCUUGGAACAGGACGUCACAGAGGGUGAGAAUCCCGUGCGAUGAGAUGCCCAAUUCCAUGUAAAGUGCUUUCGAAGAGUCGAGUUGUUUGGGAAUGCAGCUCUAAGUGGGUGGUAAAUUCCAUCUAAAGCUAAAUAUUGGCGAGAGACCGAUAGCGAACAAGUACAGUGAUGGAAAGAUGAAAAGAACUUUGAAAAGAGAGUGAAAAAGUACGUGAAAUUGUUGAAAGGGAAGGGUUUGAGAUCAGACUUGGUAUUUUGUAUGUUUUACUCUCGGGUGAGGCCUCUGCAGUUUACUGGGCCAGCAUCAGUUUGGAUGGUAGGAUAAUGACAUUGGAAUGUGGCUCUUCGGAGUGUUAUAGCC